AUGAACGCUAGCGGCAGGCCUAACACAUGCAAGUCGAACGGUAACAGGAGAAGCUUGCUUUUCGCUGACGAGUGGCGCACGGGUGAGUAACGCGUAUGCAACCUGCCUUAUACUGGGGGAUAGCCCAAAGAAAUUUGGAUUAAUACCGCAUAACAUAUUUGAAUCGCAUGGUUUAAAUAUUAAAACUCCGGUGGUUAAAGAUGGGUAUGCGUGACAUUAGUUUCUUGGUGAGGUAACGGCUCACCAAGACUACGAUGUCUAGGGGUUCUGAGAGGAUGAUCCCCCACACUGGUACUGAGACACGGACCAGACUCCUACGGGAGGCAGCAGUGAGGAAUAUUGGUCAAUGGACGAAAGUCUGAACCAGCCAUCCCGCGUGCAGGACGAAUGCCCUAUGGGUUGUAAACUGCUUUUAUUUGGGAAGAAACCCCUUUACGUGUAAAGGGCUGACGGUACCAAACGAAUAAGGACCGGCUAACUCCGUGCCAGCAGCCGCGGUAAUACGGAGGGUCCAAGCGUUAUCCGGAUUUAUUGGGUUUAAAGGGUCCGUAGGUGGAAAAUUAAGUCAGUGGUGAAAGCCGGUAGCUCAACUAUCGAACUGCCAUUGAUACUGAUUUUCUUGAGUGUAGUUGAAGUAGGCGGAAUAUGUCAUGUAGCGGUGAAAUGCAUAGAUAUGACAUAGAACACCGAUCGCGAAGGCAGCUUACUAAGCUAUUACUGACACUGAGGGACGAAAGCGUGGGGAGCGAACAGGAUUAGAUACCCUGGUAGUCCACGCCGUAAACGAUGAUUACUCGUUGCUAGCGAUACACUGUUAGUGACUAAGCGAAAGUGUUAAGUAAUCCACCUGGGGAGUACGAUCGCAAGGUUGAAACUCAAAGGAAUUGACGGGGGCCCGCACAAGCGGUGGAGCAUGUGGUUUAAUUCGAUGAUACGCGAGGAACCUUACCAGGGCUUAAAUGUAGGACGUAGGUUAGAAAUAUUCUUUUCCUUCGGGACUAUUUACAAGGUGCUGCAUGGCCGUCGUCAGCUCGUGCCGUGAGGUGUCGGGUUAAGUCCCAUAACGAGCGCAACCCCUAUCUUUAGUUGCCAGCGGGUCAUGCCGGGGACUCUAGGAAAACUGCCAGCGUAAGCUGUGAGGAAGGUGGGGAUGACGUCAAAUCAGCACGGCCCUUACGUCUAGGGCUACACACGUGCUACAAUGGCCGGUACAGAGGGCAGCUACCACGCGAGUGGAUGCGAAUCUCCAAAGCCGGUCUCAGUUCGGAUCGCAGUCUGCAACUCGACUGCGUGAAGUUGGAUUCGCUAGUAAUCGUAUAUCAGCAAUGAUACGGUGAAUACGUUCCCGGGCCUUGUACACACCGCACGUCAAACAAUGGAAGCUGGGAGCGCCUGAAGU
rnacentral:rRNA from 1 species